GCGGAGGAGGCCCCAGUGCCACAGCCCAGGGCCCCCGAGAGCUCUGGGAGCCCGGGGCAAAUGCUAGAAAUUUGCUUAGAACGUCCGGGUCCCACGGAAGGCGCCCUUGCCGCCCUCUCUCGGGUCGUAGCUCCCUGACGCUGGGGCGCAACCCCUUCGCUCCUCCUCCCCGCUGGCCGCGGCCGGGCUUCCCCAGCUCUUGCUGCUUCGGGCCUGUGACUUCUGCAACCCCGGGCUGGGGGCCGCGGGGUCUCAGGGCCGGUGACGCCGCACUGGGAGCCGCCCCAAAGAGGUUACUCACCUCCCUCGUCCCGCACAUUAUUCUGACCCAAGAGCCUCCACCCCACACGGGAUUUUGCGCGUCGUCCACGCCCGGCCGGCGGCCUUUGCUGCUCCCAGCCCUGCGCGGCUUUGGUCCCAGCCUCGGUGGCCCCUGUGCCAAACCGGGGACAGGCGGAAGGGAGUCUCCUAGGGACCCUAAGUAGCCUGGGGCCAACAACCCCUUUCCUCUCUGCUCUCCCCUCAAAACAAGUUUCAGGAUCUUGCAGGCCUCGCGGCGUCGUUCUUCGUUGUGGCGGCCUGUGGCUCUUUGAAAAACACGACGAGGCCUGCAAAAUGCGUUUUUCUUUUUUUCCUUUACGCAUGUAACCACGGUCCUGCAUCGUGAAACGGUACGCGCGUCGGUGGCAAAAGAAAAACAGCAGUGGCUGCAAAGCUAAGGGCCCUCGCUUUCAGAGGAGAGAAUUUUCUUUCUCCAUGCGGGUGGAAAGUGGCCUCUGCGGGUCCAACCCCACUUCUUCUUGGGCCCGUGCGCUCCGGCUGCGCCGCAGGGACCGCGGACAGCUUCGCCAAGGCACUGCCUGCCCGCCCGGCUCCGGGUCCCCGCUCCCACUCCCAGCCGCGUGGCCCAACCUCUCCUGGGCUUCACUGCAAAUCACCCCUUCCUCUCCCGCCUCCUAAGUCUGUCGAGCAGACCUAGGGGCCGGCUACAGUUGGGAGGGCAACGGGAAAGAUCAAGCCACAAUCAUUCCGAAUUAUCGCCCCAGACACCUCCCUAGACUCUGGGGAACGAACGCGUGCUGAGCCUCCCCGCCGCUUUGGAGACGGGGCUAGAUUUUCGUUGCCUCCGGCUCUCGACAGGUGCAAAACAAUGAAUUCCAAGCCUCGGAAGCAAAGAAGCUUAGGAUCCGACGGUGGCCGCAAGAUCUCAUCAUGGAUCUGACCCCUGCUCAGCGCGCGCCAUUUCGUCGUUGCCAAACGAAAUCAAGCCCCGCGUGCGCUCCAGGGGCGAAGGACUCUGGACUCACCCCGACCACCGGGAGAGCUGGCCCCUACCCACCUCGGGACCUCACAGCACGCCCUCAGGCCGUGUCGAAAGGAAGGACGGCAAAGGUCCCUUACUGAACCUUUUAAGAGAGCCUGCGCCUGGCAGUUGUCGAUUGCGGACCCAGGCCCGCGCGCCCUCGGACGCGCUGGCACGAGCAGCAGAACUAGAGGAAAGCGAGUGAUCCAGCCUGGGCGCUCCCACCUCCGGGAACGUCUCCGAGAAGGCGCAGCGCGUCGUGGCCAGGCCCUCUUUGCCCUUCUGACUUCAGGACACAAUGUUCUGUGUCCUCCGGAGGACACAGCCAGAAGACACUGCCUUGGAAACAGGGAGUCCAGGACCUCACCAGAUGCGGAACCUGCCAGAGCCUUGAUCUUGGACUUCCCAGUCUCCAGAACCAUGUGUAUGAGAAGGGCUGAAUAUCACCUGUGAGCCUGCCCCUGCUCCCAAGAACACCCUUUGGACACCUGUGGGCUCUGCAAGGUUGGUGUAACCCCUACAGAUGAGGAAACCAGAGACAGAGAAGUGAAGUAACUCAUGCAGGUGACGGCAGAGGGCAGAGUCAGGACUUGAACCUGGAGAGCCUGGCUCUAAAGCCCAAGCUGGAAUCUCGAUACUCUACACCUCGAUAAGUUUUUGGGAAAUGACUGACUAAACAGAUGAACGCGUUUGCCCCCCCGCCGCCCCAGAGCCCCCUUAAAGCCUACAUGUGGCAGUUUGGGCCCAUUUCCUUGGCUUCCCUCCCUGGAGGGGCACCCACUGCCAGUGUCCCUGCUGAAAUUUAGCAUCAUAUUCCAUGGCGAUUUUCCACCAGUGGAAAUCACAGGUGUUCUCUGGUAUCACAGCGGGGUCAGGGAUGACCUGAAAUAUUGUUCAUGCUCAUCACAACUGCAUGGCCCACCGCGGGGUCUUGUCACUCAGUGAGUUCUUGAAGAGGCACAGACAAAUGGAGUUCAACAAAUGGAAAACAACUGCCUUUAAUUAGCUCCGAGGACUACAAAGGGAACAACGUUAUAAUAGCAGCAACUCCAAGGAAGCAGCCACAGCUCUCAGCUCUCAGACCUGGGGCUGCCGCUCAUCAUCAGCUACAGCUAGGUUUGAUGGGAGUGCCCCCAUUUCAGGGGACAGCAGGCCCCCUUCACUCCCCGACUCAGUCCCCAUCUGCAGCAGCACAGCCUUCCUUGGCCUCACCAGGGAAGAAGAACAGGCCCCGCUCUCAGACAAGCCUUCCCAGAAGCCUGAGGACUCAAACACCCAAAUGUGUCUGGGUCCCUGCCCCGAGCCGGCCACCCAGGCAGCAGCCCUGAAUCACUCGGUCAGCCAGCGGCAGGGCAGGCCAAUGGGCUGGAGGGUAGGCAGGCAGGCAGACCCACCUCUGCAUCUCUGCUGACUGCCUCGGCUGAGGAAAGGCAGCACCAGCCCCCAACCCUGAAGUUCUAGAUCUCAUGCAGCCUCUCUGUUCUGGAACCAUCCAGAGGCACUGCCCUUAUACAUGGUCCACCCCCAGGCUCAGACAAUGAGAAUUCCACAAGCAGAGGGGACUCUAUUUGGGGCACAGAGAGGUUAAGUAACUCCCCUCCUAAGGUCUCUCAGCAAGGAAGCCACUGAGCCGUGGGACUUGAGCUCAGGGACUCUUGAUCCCCAGUCUCAGGUGUCACAGCCCCAUCUGGGCUCCUGCUAGGGAGGAGGAAGGCAGCAGGGGGUGUCUGAGGCCAGGGUGCAUCAGCCCUAAAUGCCAGACAGAGGCAGGAGAAGUCUCCCCAUGAGUCCCAGCCCCAUUAGAGGCUCCAGGUCGGGGAUCCCAGACCCCCUAUCCUUGCUGGGAGACACAACCCAGAACUCUGCAUCCCUGCAGCCACCAAAAAAGGCAAAAGCUGCCCAGAAACACUUUCUCCUCUUCCGUGGCCAAAUCCACGAACUUUCUCGAGGUCUGUCCCCCUGCCCCGUGCAGGUCCAGCUUCAGUGCAGCCCAGCUCUGUGCAGUUUUCCACAAAAGCCUGUGGCUUCCUUCUCCUCCCUCUGCUUCUGAUACCCCAGGAGUUACACACAAAAUGUUGGCGGUGGUCUCCAGGAAGACCCCUGCAUCCCACAGCUCUCCCCAGAAGUUGCCAGCAGUGACCUCCUGAGCCCAGGUGGGGAGUCCCAGGCAGGACAGGGGCUGGGGCUGCAGGCCCUGGGGCCCUGUUAGUGAAGCAGCAAGCCGAGGGUCCCUGAGAGUUUCCCUUGGCCCCUCUGAGGGCUGCCCUUUGAGGUCUUGAGGUCUUGGAGUAUCCAUCGCCCCCACGGCUUACUGUCCCCACCAGCGGAGGAUGAAAGUGCCACAGCGAUGUUCCACGCCAAGAGACCACAGAGACCACCAACCCCUCUUCCCACCUCAGGCUUUCAGAGGCCAGCGGAUUUAGGCGGACAGGCUGUGCGCUUGAGGGCAGCCAGGGCGGUCAGUGGAGGGACGUGGUCCGGGGCCUGGCCACAGCUCCCCACCCAGGGCCCUGGGCUAUUGUUACUCACCGCGGAUGAAGGUCGGCGAGUAGGUCGGGAAGGAGUCGAAGAUGCUGUUCGAUGCCAUGCCCCGCUCUGAAGAAGGCGAGAAUUUUCAGCCCUUCAGGGGGUUGGGUUGGGAUUCACUUGGUUGGCUGUUGUUUUAUUUUUUUUUCCUCUAGCUACUUUUGAAAAUAAAAGGGGGGGGUGUUGCUUUUUGUUGUU